UAAUCUCGCCUAAUUAAAGCCCUAAUUAAAGCUGAGCAGGUGGGUGGAGCUUAACGGGUAAUUAACUAGCAAAUAAAUCUGUGAAACUUACUGUUGCAGUGUGUUAAAUAUUAAAUUCACUAAAAAAAUUAAUUUUAUAUAAACCUUUUUAUGUUUUCACAAAUGUUAAAAUUCUGACCAAUCAGAGUCGAGAAUUCAUCCGUAAACCAGGUCAUAGUGGAGGCUACAAUCCUUCGACUUGCCAAGCAGGAGAUAUUAUGCCUCUAAAAUCGUGAAGACCUCCAGAUUCCGAUCCACAGUCUUUGCAAAUAUGAGGAAUAAUAAAUCAUUAAUGGAACACUGGCAUUUGUUUUUGCACUUGUUUUGUAAAAGCAGUAAGCCACACGAUGGCAUGGGUGCUAUUUUAUUAGAUAUUUUAUCAAGGAGGGUUUUACAUCAAAUAAAUUCAUGUAAAGCAUGCUCUCGUGUUAACAUUUAACAUAAACGUUGUUCAAUGCUUACUGAUGAAAGCACUUUAUUAACUGUUGCCAAUUCUUUUGAAGGGAAUCUAAAGAAAACGAGGACCAAAAAUAAUAAUAAUAAUAAUGAAUAAAUUAAAAUCUGGUCCACAAUUAUCCUUUAAUGAUUAUGCAAUAAACAAUACAUUUAGUGUUAAGGAAAUGUAUGUGUACAGACUGCCAAAGUAAAUGAACAGUAGCGUACAACCACCACAAAAGCAAAUCUUCAGCCUUCUGCAAAAUAUAAUAAAAUGAACAUAUCUGCUGGACAAAGUCAACUUAGGAAAACACAAGGAAAAA